CAGGGCCACGUCUGCGAAUUGCGAGCGCCUCAGUCCGCUUCCCGGCGUCGCCGCGAGGGACGUGGUCCGCGUGGUGGAGGUGAGGGGCGUCUCCCGGCAGAGACAUGGAUUUAGAUGUUGUCACAAAGCAGUCAGCAUUACAUGCCAAGCCUGAUGGACUCAUUCUUCAAUAUGGGACAGCUGGAUUUCGAACGAAAGCAGAACAUCUCGAUCACGUCAUGUUUCGUAUGGGAUUAUUAGCUGUCCUGAGGUCAAAACAGACCAAAUCUACCAUAGGAGUCAUGGUAACAGCAUCACACAAUCCUGAGGAAGACAAUGGUGUAAAAUUGGUUGAUCCUUUGGGUGAAAUGUUGGCACCAUCCUGGGAGGAACAUGCUACCUCUUUGGCAAACGCUGAGGAACAAGAUUUGCCAAGAGCGUUGGUGGACAUCAGUGAGAAAGGAGCCGUGAAUCUGCACCAAGAUGCCUUCGUGGUGAUCGGUAGAGAUACCAGGCCCAGCAGUGAGAGACUUUCACAGUCAGUAAUAGAUGGCGUGACUGUUUUAGGAGGUCAAUUCCAUGAUUAUGGCUUGUUGACGACGCCCCAGCUGCACUACAUGGUGUUCUGUCGAAACACCAGUGGCCACUAUGGAAAGGCAACUGUGGAAGGUUACUACCAGAAACUCUCUACGGCCUUUGUGGAACUUACCAAACAGGCCUUCUGUAAUGGAGAUGACCACAGAACCCUGAAGGUUGACUGUGCGAAUGGCAUAGGGGCCCUGAAGCUGAGAGAAAUGAAACACUACUUCUCCCAGGGGCUGUCAUUUCAGCUGUUUAAUGAUGGGACCAAAGGGAAACUCAAUCAUUUAUGUGGGGCCGACUUCGUGAAAAGUCAUCAGAAACCUCCACAGGGAAUCGAAAUGAAGUCCAGUGAAAGGUGCUGUUCCUUUGAUGGAGAUGCAGACAGAAUAGUUUACUACUACCAUGAUGCAGAUGGUCAGUUUCACCUGCUGGACGGAGACAAGAUAGCAACACUCAUUAGCAGUUUCCUUAAAGAGCUCCUGUUGGAGAUUGGAGACAGUUUGAGUCUCGGUGUUGUACAAACUGCAUAUGCCAAUGGAAGUUCAACACGGUACCUGGAAAAAGUUAUGAAGGUACCUGUCUAUUGUACUAAAACUGGUGUAAAACAUUUGCAUCACAAGGCUCAAGAGUUUGACAUUGGAGUUUAUUUUGAAGCAAACGGGCACGGCACAGUCCUGUUUAGUAAAGCUGCUGAAACGAAGAUAAAACAACUAGCAAAAGAAUUAGAAGAAGAUAAGAAAAGGAAAGCUGCUAAGAUGCUUGAAAAUGUGAUUGACUUGUUUAACCAGGCAACUGGUGAUGCCAUUUCUGACAUGCUGGUGAUUGAGGCAAUCUUGGCUCUGAAGGGCUUAACUCUACAGCAGUGGGACGCGCUCUAUACGGAUCUUCCAAACAGACAGCUCAAAGUUAAGGUUGCAGACAGGCAAGUUAUUAGCACUACAGAUGCCGAAAGACAAGCUGUUAAACCUCCAGGACUCCAGGAGGCCAUCAAUGACCUGGUGAAGAAGUACAGGCUUUCUCGAGCUUUUGUCCGGCCCUCUGGUACAGAAGACAUAGUCCGAGUCUAUGCAGAGGCGGACUCGCAGAAUGUUUAGAAACACCAUGACAUCCGAGAGAGAGAAGUUUAAGAAAGAGGACUUGGGGCUCCUCCCCGAGGCAGAAGGAUUGGCAAACAGACCCAGCAUAUACAAGCCAGAAGACCACAGGGUAGGAAUUGCAAUGUGGAGAGAGAACAUUUAGAACUGUAGGUUUCAAAAGGUAAAAUCACUAACAAUGCCAUUUUAUAAAACCCUUUAUAAUUUUAUGUCCUCUGCCUAAAUCCUUCUCAUUGCUUUAAAAACAAUUUCUGGCCUGGCCUGGCCCCCCACUGCCCUCCUCGUGUCUUGCACUCACCCCCAUUCCCUCUUCUGCAGCCACAGUCUUGCUUGCUCUUCCUUAAACUCACCAAGCUUGUUCCUCUCCUGAGUCCUUUAUAAUUUUUGUCCCUUAUUCCUGGAAUAUUUUGUCCCUAGGCCUUCUCAUAGUUGGUUUCUUUGGUUUCACCUCAAAUAUGAGCUUUUGAGCUAUUAUUUAAAAUCUAUCAUAUCACCCUAUUUCCUUCACAACUUCUUACUCUCUGAAAUAAACUUAUUUACUGGAUUAAGGUGAGCAUAACGCCUGGCCCAUUUUUGUCUUUUGAUAAAUAACUGUUAAAUAGAUGAAUCUGAACCUUAAAACAAACCUGUGAAGAUGAGAGAGAAUACGCUGUCCUUUUUCCAGAGGAGGAAACUGCAGCUUGGGUUAAGAACUGACAUGAAAUUCUGCAGAUUCAUCCAACUUCACUGCUAUUUAAGGUAGUAGUUGAUUUCAACAGAUUCUGUGAGAUGCAUCAUCGUGUUAAAUAGAAGCAAGAUGACUUACUGAUUAACACAAGAGGCAUCCAUCUGAAAGAAGCUGG